UCCAUCCAUUAGAUCCUCAUGCUGUGAAAAGCCUAAAACUCAUGUUUGAAGCACACAUAUAGUAGAUACAAAUAUGUGCGGAGAUAAGGUAUUUUGCUAUUACUGCUACCACACCAACCACACUGAUGUCGUUCAAAUGCCUUACUAAAUCAUCACCCUUAUGAUAAAGAAAAUUUAUCCCACCUGAGAAGUAUAAUGCAGUUGGUUGCUGUAAUUCCAUUAUUGCGGUUUUUCAUCAUGAACAUUUUAGUGUGCAUCUUAGAAAAUAGCACGCAAGAUCCCCACGGACAUCCUUGAGCCAAUGCUGGAUUUUGUCCAUGACAGAAGAGGGACUUCCACCAACAUUCUGCUCCAUCCUUAUCUUCAAGACUUCAAGACGUACGUUCAUCCAGCUUCACUACUUCAGUGUUUCUUAUCUGCUAGCCUGCUACACAACUUUUCUUGCUUAACUGGCGAGUUGGAUCACUUCAGUUGCUGUGACACACCUGUACAGUCACUCACCACGGGAUUAUGGCCAGGUAAUGCAGAGGAGACGUCGAGAAGAUGGAUUUUCUCAUCUUUAACAAUCGUCACCAGUCUCUGUCGGAUGUUACCCCUGCUCCUGGUGCGAACGAAACUCGGUGGAAUCGCGACCGACACCGAGACUCGUCAUCACCGUGGAUCAUCGUAUUGUUGGUAUUAUUGCGUUAGUGUUAGUUAACCCG
rnacentral:misc_RNA from 1 species